GUUCCAGAAUAAUCGGCUAUACAUUUUAAUUUUUAACUCUAUUUGUUGUUAUAUUACUUUUUUUUUGUUCUUUUUUAUGUUUUUUUUGUAAAAUGUUUUGAUUUUUUUGUAUUUUUUUGUAAUAUUUAAAAUUUGUUUUUUGAACUGGAUUAGUACCCAGGUAAUCAAAGUUUAUUAAUUCGGGAGUAAAGUUUUGUUUAAACCGAAAAAAUAUUGACUGACUUUAGAUUUUUCUUUGGAAUAUGUGUUUUUGGAGAGCCCUCUUUUUUGGUGAAUUUUAUUGGCACAUGUAUGAUUGUUUAGUUUUUAUGUUAUUUGUGUUGCUUUUUUGUUUUUUUGCAUUUAAAACAGAUAUAUAUUUGGCUUAUAAAUUUAUUUUUCAUGUAUUACUAUUAUUAAUUUUUUUUGGAUUUAUUUUUUAUUUUGUUUUUGAAAUUGGAAAAGAAAGUAAUUUUUUCUUUAUGUGUUAAUGAAUUUAAUAAAUAAAGUGGUACAAACCAUCCGUCAAU
rnacentral:rRNA from 1 species